rnacentral:rRNA from 1 species
GACGAACGCUGGCGGCGUGCUUAACACAUGCAAGUCGAACGGAAAGGCCCUGCUUUUGUGGGGUGCUCGAGUGGCGAACGGGUGAGUAACACGUGAGUAACCUGCCCUUGACUUUGGGAUAACUUCAGGAAACUGGGGCUAAUACAGGAUAGGAGCUCCUGCUGCAUGGCGGGGGUUGGAAAGUUUCGGCGGUUGGGGAUGGACUGGCGGCUUAUCAGCUUGUUGGUGGGGUAGGGGCUUACCAAGGCUUUGACGGGUAGCCGGCCUGAGAGGGUGACCGGCCACAUUGGGACUGAGAUACGGCCCAGACUCCUACGGGAGGCAGCAGUGGGGAAGAUUGCACAAUGGGCGGAAGCCUGAUGCAGCAACGCCGCGUGCGGGAUGACGGCCUUCGGGUUGUAAUCCGCUUUCGCCUGUGACGAAGCGUGAGUGACGGUAAUGGGUAAAGAAGCACCGGCUAACUACGUG